rnacentral:misc_RNA from 1 species
ACAUACCUAGAACUCUAUAUCUCUCAGUUCGUUACCUUUUACAGAGAGAAAUGGAACAAGAAAUUUGCAUUAUUGAUGCCUUCGCCCAUGGUCCUUUUACCGGCAAUCAGGCGGCUAUUUGUCCCUUAAAAUUUGAUCAGGACUACGAUGAUACUUUUCUAUUAAAUAUUGCUCGGGAAAUGAACCUAUCAGAAACAGCUUACAUUAAAAUAUUAAAGGAUGGCGAUACCUUUGACAAAUCUUCAAAGUUCGGUCUUAGAUGGUUUACUCCUGAAACAGAAGUACCUUUGUGUGGUCAUGCAACUUUGGCGAGUGCUGCUUCUCUUUUCUACACACUGGGAAAUAAGAACGAAGAAAUUGAAUUCGUCACAAGAAAGAGUGGUAGUUUGUUUGCAAGAAAGCAUGGAGAAGGUAUAACUAUUUCAUUGCCUUUGGAUAAAACAUUGGAAAGAAUUGAGAGUAUUGAAGGAGAUUGGAAGAUAGUAUGCGAUGAAGUUUCGGGUAAUUUACCUAUUGAAGGCGUCUAUUUAUCAAAGAAUCUGAAAUAUGGACUUGUUCACCUAAAGGAUUCAGUUAGUGCUGAAGAGUUUGAAGCUUUUACGCCAAAUUUUCAUAGGCUACUAAAUACAAGCGUUACUGAAUGGAUAUCAGUGACAAUGAAAGGAGACAAAUUCAAGGAUAAAGAAGGCAAAAGCUAUGAUUUUGUUUCGCGAAUGUUUGCUCCUUGGUUAGGAGUAAAUGAAGAUCCCGUUACUGGUUCAGCACAUACGACUCUUAGUAGUUUUUGGUCUGACAUCUUGAAUAAAAAGAAAAUGAGAGCAAGACAAGGCAGAGCAAGAAAAGGCACCGUAAACAUAAGUGUCUUAGAUGACCGUGUAGAGUUAACUGGGAAUGCUCAGGUCACGUUGAAAGGUCACCUUCUACUAUAGAUGUGAUACACAAUACAUUUAGUAUCUUUAAUCUUAACAUAAGCCUAUAACCAGCUCUUGUUCUACAAUUGAGUAAGUUGAGGAAUACAAUGCGUUCUAUCGUUAGUUUUUCUCAUUUACGAUCAUUCGGCAAACCAUGCCAAACAAAGCGACCUUUUGCUAAAAAGCCAGUGCGUCUUUAGGCCUAACCUUAAACGGGUUGAUACGUCUCUUUUACAAGCUCAAUGGAGACGGUCACUGUAUUAAAUCUAUUCGCCCUGUACUAAAGUAUGACGUCAGUUUUUUUGUACUCUGCAAAAUAAUGCAUUCUUUUUCUCCUUCAUUGAUCUACAACUGGAUAUUGUAAGAAAACGAUUCUCUUAUGAUAACAAUGAAAACCAAGUAGGGGGUUGGUAAGAAUCAACGACUCAAUCUACUAACAAACCUGUCUAAUUAUGUUUUAAAACCGUACAAGAGUAGUUUUCAUUUCAAUUUUACAUGCUUCUCAACUUCAAAAUCGUGACAAAGGAAAAGAAGUAUAUAGAUAUAGUAUCUAGGAAAUAAAAAAGGAAGAAAACUUAUAGGAAAGGCGGAAGAUUUGAAAUUCUAGGAUUUACUACUUAGUCCUGUAAUUAGAGAUAUUAGAAAUUCCAUUUUGACACAAAUAAGGAAAUGAGAAUAACUUAUUGGCUAUAAAAUGUUCAGUUUCUUUCUUUUGGUAAGACAUCGUUGAAGAGAUGUCAAAAGGUAUUAAAAGAGAAAUUACAAUGGAAAGCGACUGAUAUAUCACAUCUAAGAGACGCCACCUAGUUAAGAAUUCUGAACUACGCGAAUAAUAAAAUUUUUGCACGUAUAUAAAACUGAUCGUAUAAAGAAGUAAGGUUCAUAAUAAUUCUUUUUUUUCUUUAGCCCAUUGUCUGUUUCUUCCCUUCCGUUCACUAGCCUAGCUUUUAUCUAUUUAGAAAAAGAUACGGGUAGGAAUUUCCCGCCGCAUCUUAUCUAAAAAGCCGACUAAAUUGAGAGUGUAGCAACAAAUUAGGCUUAUCUGCGAAACAUCUGGCAGCUAGCGCCCGGCAACGGCGUUCGAAUUGUUUACGUAAAUCGCAGCACCUGUUCAUUGAUUAAUCCUGUAGAAUAUACGCGCUAUAUCCAUUAUUGUGCCGUAUGUAUAUAUACAUAGAUAAAACAGCUGUUCUAUAUCACAGAUCCGGUAUAAAAAAGAAUGAAAAUCAAUUGAAAGAGCUAGUUCAAUGACGGCGUUUAGCUCUGCCUUCCGCUUGAAUAGUUCUUGUACACAUAUCGACACAUUCGGCAAAGUCUGGCUUUUCGUCGUGCUCGUCUCCUGCUAGGCGGGCUAGGGCGAGAAUAUAUGAGGAAGCUAUCCGUAGAAUGGCCAAUUUUGAUAAUUUUUGAUUGUAGGAAUAAGAUGGCACGGCUCUUCUAAGAGUUUCAAAGGCAGCACUAAUUGUGUGAACUCUGGAUCGUUCCCUAGCGUUUGCUUCGACUCGACGUUCCCUUGUCAUAUUUUUGUAAUUUUUUCUUGAUCUUUUACUAUUUGUAGCGACUUCUUCCCAACAUCUUUCUUUGUUUCCUUCAUCUUCCAUAUCGUCUUCCUGCUCUAACCUAAUACGUUUCCUCGGUUCACUCAUCUUACGCUUGUUACGGCGUUGUACUUCUUCCAUUUUCUGACGGUCGAGUGUGCCAGGUGCAGAACAGAUAAGCCAGGCGCCACCUGCAACCGAACCGACCGAGCUUAACAGGUGCUGCAGCACGGUUCCAGAUCAAUGCCAUAACUACCUCUUGACUACUGCCAGCUGCGCGACUCUGCUUUCAGCCUACAUAAUACGCUCUAUAUGGGUGCGGCUUUAUUAUUAUAAUAUUUUCUCUCUUAGAUUCAAAUACUAGAUAAAAAGUGUAUUUAAAAUAAGAUGAGAUUCCCUUCUUUAGUUUUCGGUUCCCUUUUCUUAGUGACCUCCUGCCAAGAAAAAGCUGGUGUAAUCCUAUAUACGUUGGCAAGUCGAACCCUCCGACCGCCUAAUGCCAACCAGAUGGACAGCUUUUACUAGGUGGCCAAGUCGAUUUGGUAAGUGGAAGAAAGAUGCAAGGAGGGUUCCAUUACUUUGAAAUACUGUCGAUAGAUACGCCAUCUUUUGAACUCCCAUGCGAUAACUGCAGGUGGCGAUAUUCAACUCGUGUAUAAUGAGUGGGUCGGCAAUAUUUAGUUUAGCAACACCAUAAAAAUCAUCUAGACGCCUGACACCACCAGUCCAAGUAUUGGAAGCCUUAUGAUGUCCUUCACGGCAAUCCACGCAGAUCGUAAGAACGCAGAAGAGUGAGCCGUACUACCUUCGUCAAGUGCAUCUCCUACUACAACAACAAUUUCCGGUUUGAAGAAAGUUAUCACAGUUUCAAAUGUUCUUCUAACAUAUCUUUUUGGAAGGGAAGAAAAAAAAAUGAAAGAAUAAGCUUAAACUUUUAUUUCUUUUAAUUUUUCUUUAAAGUUUUUUUUUUAUAAAAACAAAGAAAAUAAUUGAAAAACUAUGAAAAUAAAUACGA